CUCCAAAGAAGUGUCCAAACAAAAUUAAGCAAAUUCAUCUAAGUCCUCAUGGACACCAAAGCUACUCCAAAAAGAGCACAACAAUCUGGGUGAGCUUAGCCCAUUCAGUUAUUGGUGCUGGUUAGCAGAGCAGAGAGAAGGAAAGGAAACACAAGCCUGGCUCAGAUUGUGGAGCUGGGCUUGGCUUGUUUUCCCAGUAAUACACAGCUGACUCGAUAUCAGGAAACAGCACUGCCCUCAGAACCGAAAGAGAAAGCAGAUAACAGAUAUCUGCACGUGACAAAACAGGCUGUGGUGACAGACAGCAGCCAGCAAGCACCGGCAGCAGCCACAAACUCGCCUGGCUCCUCCAGCGGCACCACAGCCCUCGCCAGAGUGUUCCAGCUCCACACCCACCCAAUGGGCAGCCCAUUCAGAACAAUGGGCAUCCUCCAUGGGACCUUCCAGUCUCUCCAGAAGCCUGUUGUGAAGAAGCCCUCCAAGAGACACCACAAGAAGUAAGGGAAAAGUGAUCAGGGAAGUGGACAGUGUGAAGAAGCUUGCAAGACAGCACUGAGGACAGCACACGUUCUGGGGAGAGGAGCAGAGUCGGGUUUGCCACUCAGUCUGAGAGGAGCAAGGGGACGGCAAUCACACGUGUGUCUCAGCAGCACCCACGUCCCUGGGCCUCAGAGGAAGGUGAGUGGCUGCAGGGAGAUCCAGGGUGCCUCUCUGAGCUGGGCACCUGUCCGUCUGUGCAGGACACUGGUCCCCAGGCAACCAAGACAGAAGAGCACCAUGCCUGCCAGCCUCAGUGGGUAGCACAGCUGCAGGUAUUCAGUCCUGCUGUGCUUAGCCAUCUACAGGCACGCAAGGACCUGCCUGUGGAGC